rnacentral:piRNA from 1 species
UGGUAACAGAGAUCCUGGUGGAAGGUCCUGU